rnacentral:rRNA from 1 species
GACGAACGCUGGCGGCGUGCUUAACACAUGCAAGUCGAACGAUGAAGCCGGAGCUUGCUCUGGUGAAUUAGUGGCGAACGGGUGAGUAACACGUGAGUAACCUGCCCUUGACUCUGGGAUAACUGCUAGAAAUGGUAGCUAAUACCGGAUACGACCCUCGGAGGCAUCUCCAGGGGGUGGAAAGAAUUUCGGUCAAGGAUGGACUCGCGGCCUAUCAGCUAGUUGGUGAGGUAACGGCUCACCAAGGCGACGGCGGGUAGCCGGCCUGAGAGGGUGCCCGGCCACACCGGGAGUGAGACACUGCCCAGACUCGUCCGGGAGGCAGCAGUGGGGAAGAUUGCACAAUGGGCGCAAGCCUGAUGCAGCAACGCCGCGUGAGGGAUGACGGCCUUCGGGUUGUAAACCUCUUUUAGUAGGGAAGAAGCGAAAGUGACGGUACCUGCAGAAAAAGCACCGGCUAACUACGUGCCAGCCGCCGCCGUAA